UACGGAGGGUGCAAGCGUUAAUCGGAAUUACUGGGCGUAAAGCGUGCGUAGGCGGUUCGUUAAGUCUGUUGUGAAAGCCCCGGGCUCAACCUGGGAAUGGCAAUGGAUACUGGCGAGCUAGAGUGUGUCAGAGGAUGGUGGAAUUCCCGGUGUAGCGGUGAAAUGCGUAGAGAUCGGGAGGAACACCAGAGGCGAAGGCGGCGAACUGGACAGUCACUGACACUCAACUACGAAAGCGUGGGUAGCAAACAGG
rnacentral:rRNA from 1 species